rnacentral:lncRNA from 1 species
UGACUCCACAUGAUACCCAAGAAUAUUCACCAGAGAAGAGCAUAAAACAUAUAUUUCACAAAUUGAUAAAUGGGAAAUAUAGAAGUUGUGAUCUUGACUAUUUACAACAAAAGAAAAUAUGGAAAACCACAAGUGAGAGUGAACACCAGAAAUCAUAUAAAAAAUCAGGCCUUGUUCACCACCAGUGAAUUUAUACUGGAGAGAAGCCCUACAAAUAUAAAAAAUGUGGCAAAGCUUUUAGUAGAAUAAAUGAUCUUAUUAACCACAGAUUAACCCACACUGGACAGAUGCCCUACCAAUGGGCAGAAUGUGAUAAAGCUUAUAAAGAAAAAUCAAUCUUUAUUAAGCAAAGCAGAAAUCACACUGAAGAGAAGCCCUACAAAUGUGAAGAAUAUGGUAAAGUUUUUAGUCAAAAAUUGAACAUUAUUUACCAAAGAAGAAUUCACACUGGAGAAAAGCUCUACAAAUGUAGAGAAUGUGGCAAAGCUUUUAGUCAAAAAACAGACCUUAUUCACCACAGAAGAACUCACACUGGAGAGAAGCCCUACAAAUGUAAAGAAUGUGGCAAAGAUUUCAGUCAUAAAUCACUCCUUAUUCGCCACAGCAGAACUCACACUGGAGAGAAGCCCUACAAAUGUAAAGAAUGUAGCAAUGCCUUUAGUCAAAAAUCAGACGUUAUUCACCACAGCAGAACUCACAGUGGAGAGAAGCCCUAAAAAUGUAAAGAAUGUGGCAAAGCUUUCAGUAGAAAUGUAGGACUUAAUUACCACAGCAGAACUCACACUGGAGAGAAUCCCUACAAAUGUAAAGAUUGUGGCAAAGCUUUCAGAAUAAAAGAAGGACUUACUUACCACAGGAGAACUCACACUGGAGAGAAGCCGUACAAAUGUAAAGAAUGUGGCAAAGCUUUCAGUAAAAAAUCAGACCUUAUUUGCCACAGCAGAACUCACACUGGAGAGAAGCCCUAAAAUGUAAAGAAUGUGGCAAAGAUUUCAGUCAAAAAGCACACCUUAUUUGCCACAGUAGAACUCACACUGGAUAGAAGCCCUACAAAUGUAAAGAAUGUGGCAAAGCUUUUAGUCGAAAAUCACACCUUAUUUGCCACAGUAGAACUCAC